rnacentral:rRNA from 1 species
GAUGAACGCUCGCUACAGGCUUAACACAUGCAGGUCGAGGGGCAGCAUGGUCUUAGCUUGCUAAGGCCGAUGGCGACCGGCGCACGGGUGAGUAACACGUAUCCAACCUGCCGUCUACUCUUGGACAGCCUUCUGAAAGGAAGAUUAAUACAAGAUGGCAUCAUGAGUUCACAUGUUCACAUGAUUAAAGGUAUUCCGGUAGACGAUGGGGAUGCGUUCCAUUAGAUAGUAGGCGGGGUAACGGCCCACCUAGUCUUCGAUGGAUAGGGGUUCUGAGAGGAAGGUCCCCCACAUUGGAACUGAGACACGGUCCAAACUCCUACGGGAGGCAGCAGUGAGGAAUAUUGGUCAAUGGGCGAGAGCCUGAACCAGCCAAGUAGCGUGAAGGAUGACUGCCCUAUGGGUUGUAAACUUCUUUUAUAAAGGAAUAAAGUCGGGUAUGUAUACCCGUUUGCAUGUACUUUAUGAAUAAGGAUCGGCUAACUCCGUG